CCUACGGGUGGCAGCAGUGGGGAAUAUUGCACAAUGGGGGAAACCCUGAUGCAGCAACGCCGCGUGAGUGAAGAAGUAUUUCGUUAUGUAAAGCUCUAUCAGCAGGGAAGAAGAUGACGGUACCUGAAUAAGAAGCCCCGGCUAACUACGUGCCAGCAGCCGCGGUAAUACGUAGGGGGCAAGCGUUAUCCGGAUUUACUGGGUGUAAAGGGAGCGCAGACGGCAGUGCAAGUCUGGAGUGAAAGCCCGGGGCCCAACCCCGGGACUGCUCUGGAAACUGUGCGGCUGGAGUACUGGAGGGGCAGGCGGAAUUCCUAGUGUAGCGGUGAAAUGCGUAGAUAUUAGGAGGAACACCAGUGGCGAAGGCGGCCUGCUGGACAGUAACUGACGUUGAGGCUCGAAAGCGUGGGGAGCAAACAGGAUUAGAUACCCGUGUAGUC
rnacentral:rRNA from 1 species